GACGAACGCUGGCGGCGUGCUUAACACAUGCAAGUCGAACGGUAAGGCCCUUCGGGGUACACGAGUGGCGAACGGGUGAGUAACACGUGGGUGAUCUGCCCUGCACUUUGGGAUAAGCCUGGGAAACUGGGUCUAAUACCGAAUACACCCUGCUGGUCGCAUGGCCUGGUGGGGGAAAGCUUUUGCGGUGUGGGAUGGGCCCGCGGCCUAUCAGCUUGUUGGUGGGGUGAUGGCCUACCAAGGCGACGACGGGUAGCCGGCCUGAGAGGGUGACCGGCCGCACUGGGACUGAGAUACGGCCCAGACUGCUACGGGAGGCAGCAGUGGGGAAUAUUGCACAAUGGGCGCAAGCCUGAUGCAGCGACGCCGCGUGAGGGAUGACGGCCUUCGGGUUGUAAACCUCUUUCGAUAGGGACGAAGCGCAAGUGACGGUACCUAUAGAAGAAGGACCGGCCAACUACGUGCCAGCAGCCGCCGCAG
rnacentral:rRNA from 1 species